UACGGAGGGUGCACGCGUUAAUCGGAAUUACUGGGCGUAAAGCGCGCGUAGGUGGAUUGAUAAGCCGGUUGUGAAAGCCCCGGGCUCAACCCGGGAACGGCAUCCGGAACUGUCAAGCUAGCGUGCAGGAGAGGAAGGUAGAAUUCCCGGUGUAGCGGUGAAAUGCGUAGAGAUCGUGAGGAAUACCAGUGGCGCAGGCGGCCUUCUGGACUGACACUGACACUGAGGUGCGAAAGCGUGGGUAGCAAACAGG
rnacentral:misc_RNA from 1 species